rnacentral:rRNA from 1 species
GAUGAACGCUGGCGGCGUGCCUAAUACAUGCAAGUCGAGCGAACGGACGAGAAGCUUGCUUCUCUGAUGUUAGCGGCGGACGGGUGAGUAACACGUGGAUAACCUACCUAUAAGACUGGGAUCACUUCGGGAAACCGGAGCUAAUACCGGAUGAUAUUUUGAACCGCAUGGUUCAAAAGUGAAAGACGGUCUUGCUGUCACUUAUCGAUGGAUCCGCGCUGCAUUAGCUAGUUGGUACGGUAACGGCUUACCAAGGCAACGAUGCAUAGCCGACCUGAGAGGGUGACCGGCCACACUGGAACUGAGACACGGUCCAGACUCCUACGGGAGGCAGCAGUAGGGAAUCUUCCGCAAAGGGCGAAAGCCUGACGGAGCAACGCCGCGUGAGUGAUGAAGGUCUUCGGAUCGUAAAACUCUGUUAUUAGGGAAGAACAUAUGUGUAAGUAACUGUGCACAUCUUGACGGUACCUAAUCAGAAAGCCACGGCUAACUACGUG